GUUGACACAAACGAAAUCACGGCGCCAACUGUGAAUAAGUCACACAAGUGUGUUGUUUGCAAUAAGCGAAAAGAAACUGAUCCUCAUUGGUGUUUCACAGACUCCCUAAGUAUAAAGAACGGUUCUACUAGCUGCACCAGAUCAGAUGUUGACCCUAUAAAGACCAAUACAUCAAUAGAUUUACACCACCAAACAAAUUAUACAUCAAACUGGUUACUGACUUAUCCACACAAGAAUUUGCACAACCUUGAAUAUGGUGUGUAUCUGAUGUGCAGUUUGUAUAUGUUUAGAUUUUCUGAAAUGGUAAGUGCAUCACAAUUAUUCUAAAUAUAGUUAAUCUUGUAGGUACCAUUCCUAC